UACAGAGGUGUCAAACGUUGUCCGGAAUUACUGGGCGUAAAGGGCGCGUAGGCGGUCCUAUAAGUCAGAUGUGAAAGCUCCGGGCUCAACCCGGGAAUUGCAUCUGAUACUGUAGGACUUGAGUUCGGUAGAGGAGGGCGGAAUUCCAGGUGUAGCGGUGAAAUGCGUAGAUAUCUGGAGGAACACCCGUGGCGAAGGCGGCUCUCUGGUCCGAAACUGACGCUGAGGUGCGAAAGCUAGGGUAGCAAACAGG
rnacentral:rRNA from 1 species